AUUGAACGCUGGCGGCAUGCCUUACACAUGCAAGUCGAACGGCAGCACGGGAGCAAUCCUGGUGGCGAGUGGCGAACGGGUGAGUAAUAUAUCGGAACGUGCCCAGUCGUGGGGAUAACGUAGCGAAAGCUACGCUAAUACCGCAUACGAUCUAUGGAUGAAAGCGGGGGAUCGCAAGACCUCGCGCGAUUGGAGCGGCCGAUAUCAGAUUAGGUAGUUGGUGAGGUAAAGGCUCACCAAGCCGACGAUCUGUAGCUGGUCUGAGAGGACGACCAGCCACACUGGGACUGAGACACGGCCCAGACUCCUACGGGAGGCAGCAGUGGGGAAUUUUGGACAAUGGGCGCAAGCCUGAUCCAGCAAUGCCGCGUGCAGGAUGAGGGCCUUCGGUUGGUU
rnacentral:rRNA from 1 species